rnacentral:rRNA from 1 species
GACGAACGCUGGCGGCGUGCUUAACACAUGCAAGUCGAACGAAGUGGCGAACGGGUGAGUAAUACGUGGGUAACCUGCCCUCCUUUUUGGGAUAAGCCUUUGAAACGGGGUCUAAUACCGAAUACAGGGGGAUGGGCUCGCGGCCUAUCAGCUUGUUGGUGGGGUGAUGGCCUACCAAGGCGGUGACGGGUAGCCGGCCUGAGAGGGUGCACGGCAACAUGGGGACGGAGAGACGGCCCAGACUCGUACGGGAGGCAGCAGUGGGGGAUAUGGCACAAUGGGCGAAAGACUGAUGCAGCGAGGCCGCGUGGGGGAUGAAGGCUUUCGGGUUGUAAACCUCUUGCGCUAUCGAUCGGGUAGGUGGAGAAGAAGCGCCGGCUAACUACGUGCCAGCAGCCGCGGUAAUUC